AGUGCUGCAAAGCAGAUGCCUAGAACUGGAUGCGGAGCAGAAUAAGGCUUGGUUUUUUGUUUUUUUCCUCAAAGUCUUCCAUCUCUUAUAGUAUACUGUACAGUUUUUGCCUCUGUUACAGUACGGGAGCAGCAUACUACCUGGAUGCGCACAUUGGCUUCUAAUGUUAGCAACGGCUCUGAACUGAGGCAGGCACGGCUUGGAGCCUUUUACUUAAACGGCGUCUGAUGAAGAAUGAUUGGUUUUUCUGUCUCAUGCGUGAAUAGCUGCUUGUGGCACAACGGUAUUUACCUGCAAGAACAGGACAAAGGGGACGAUACCUGUUACUGUCUGGGGCCUUUUUUCCUCCUCCCUUUUCUCUCUGCUGCUGCAGCCAGCCAAAUGUCCCAGAGCAGUAGGUAGCCCUGGUCCGUAGAUAGCCAGGAUUUCUCACAUCAGUCAGAGCAAAACCUCAAACAAGAAAGCAGGCUUCCCUGACCUAAAUCAUUCCCAGCCCUUUUGGACGGAUGCAGGGUAGCAGUCGACUAGCAGUGACACAACCAGCCAUCAAGUGGAGAAUCUCUGGGAUUGCAAUCUGUUUCGGUUACAUGCCUGUGAAAAUCGAACGUUCCACUUUGUUACCCAACUGCUUCUGAUAUAUUUUUUUUAAAAAAUUAUCUUUUCCACGAGCAGCUACUAAUUGCUUUUUGGGUCUCUUGAGCGUAUACGUGUGUGGAUUAGCCUGCUGCGAACGCAGUCCUUGCCCGCUUCGUGUUGGAAUGAGGACACUGAUAUCAGUCUGCUUUCACAGUUGUUUCUUUCUCUGUGAUGCUAUGCAGCCAGAAUGGGUUCCUGGGACAACAAAGGAAGAAGCUCAAAACAUCACUAUCUUUGGGGUUCUUGUUUUGGAAAUAUAUAACUCUUCUUCAGUGUGAUUUUUUCCUUUUGUUGUUUCUGUUCUUUUUUUGUAAAAAAAACUCCAUCUAAUCAAGGAGCCUAGCAGGCACCACUGCGGCUGUGAGUUUUUAAAAAUUCUAUGGAAAAAGAGAAAGAGAGACAGGCAUCUACCGGAGAACUGUGAUUCCAGGCAAACAGCACAUCUUUGCAUUCCUUGCUGAUUUGAGAUGCGCAGUUGGCGAUGAAGCCCUAAGGGACAAGUUCAGUAACUAAGAACGCGAGCGUAGAUAAAAGAAAUAAAAAUGACAAGCAUAAUGGAGGCUGAUAAAAAAAGAAACUGUCGGAGGAAUCAGUGCCUGGAUGGCAAAUCUCACCCAGUCUGAAUAUAAUUAUGAAUAAUUCAAAGAACAGGAAAAAAAUUACUCUGCUUUCACCUUUUUCCAUUUAAAAAAAUGGCAUGAUGUGAAUCUCUAAUAAAUGUUCAAGAUUUAAAAAAAAAUAUAAUGCCAAUUUGAAUUUGAAGAGCUUUUUAACAGCCAGAUGCUACCGUUCCAAUUCUUUCGAUACCUCUCGCAAUUAUUCUGCGAGAAUCCCACUUCAUCACAAAGCACCGUUACCAACGAAAAUUACUGUGAUUACAAUGACAACAAUAGAAUGUCAUCAAACGAUUUCUAAUUCACCUAAUUUACUAAGGCUGACUGCAUUGGUUCCGUGCCCAGGUCUUCAUGCUUGGCACUUUUGUACUACAUCACAGCAUCUUUGACUUCAGCCGCACUGAGGAAAAUGUAGCUGCAUUUUAAACCUUAGUCAAUACAUGUUACACAAUCGUUUUCCGGUGUUCUCAAUGACUUUGUUUAGUUCCUGGGCAUAGGAUGGCAUUCUGUUACAGGUUUGUUUAUAUAUACCUAAUGCUCAAGUGUUUUUUAAGAUUGCAGCAAUUUUUAACUGUACGAACAAUCUGCAUUGGCUGAAGGUGCACAUGGAGUUUUAAUUUCACAAGGCUCUUCUUUUCUUCUUUCUGCUUAACAGUUAUCUGUUCCCAAGUCAGAAAAGCUUUCUGCCAUUACUGACAGUUACGGUGUAACCACAGAGCAAGUACAUAAUCUGGAAAUGAGUGUAAUAGACAAUGCUAACAACAGCUAGGUAUCACAAUUCCAGGAUUUUUAUGUUAUUUUUAUACAGCCUUAAUUCUGUGACUUUACAAUCUGGUUAAAUUAGUAUGUGCUAGUAAGUCUUACUUAAUAAAGAAGCAUGUUUUAAACAACUGGAGGAGCAAUGCAAGACAUGAUAAGAAUUUACUAGAGUCUUUUGAAUAAGUUCUUUUGAUGGCAUAUUUUGGUAUCAGAUAUCUGUUUAGGAACUAGCCGUAGCUAUAGGAAGACUGGAGGUUUGAACAGCAACACAACUGAUGCUUCCUAAAGUGACGAUAAAAAUGCAAUGUUGUGAGCACAAGUUUUGACAGAGACAACGUCUAAUUAUGACAGUAUUAGGGAUGAGUGGAAUAUACCAGGUUAAAAACCUACAUUUGUAUGGAAAGAGCUGCCUUUUGACCUUAUGCCUCAAUUUAGUUUUCAUUCCAUCAGCAGGUCCAUUUAAUCUCUGGAAAAUAUCUUUAUUAAAAAAAACUAGUGAAGCCGUUUUUCACAGGAGUGUUCCCAAGGCAAGAUGAAAAACACAGCACGAGAAGGAUUUAUAACUUGAAAGAGCAUGAUACUCUCUCCUACCAUAAUCCACUUUUUAUUGAUGGGGCAAAAUGAAGUGACUGGAAUUGUCCUCACAGAAGGAAAGGAAAAACCGUUAUGGGAGCAGUAUGGGGCCAGACUACACUGAGAAGACACCUUGUGAGGCUGGUGGAGCUGAGUUCUGAAGAACUGUGACUAGCCCAAUUGGCCAUGCUGGCAGGGGCUGAUGGAAUUUUUAGUCCAUGAACAUAUGGAGAGCCGCAGGUUGCAGACCCCUGGUCUACCUGAACAUCAGAUUGCUCUUCGAUUUUUUAGAUUGGGUCCUGUGACUCUUACCUGCUUUUGUGAUGAAAGGAGUGCCCUGCCGUUGAAUGAAAUCUUUCUUCAUUGAGAGAAGACUUAGCAGAAGGAAUUAAUGAAUCAAACCCUUAGGUAUAUUUCUACAGCUAAAAAACUUUGCACAGU